rnacentral:rRNA from 1 species
AGUGAACGCUGGCGGUAUGCCUAACACAUGCAAGUCGAACGGCAGCACAGUAAGAGCUUGCUCUUACGGGUGGCGAGUGGCGGGCGGGUGAGGAAUAGAUCGGAAUCUACUUUUUCGUGGGGGAUAACGGAGGGACACUUACGCUAAUACCGCAUACGACCUACGGGUGGAAGCAGUGGAUCUUCGGACCUUUCGCGAUUGUAUUAGCCGAUGUCGGAUUAGCUAGUUGGCUGGGUAAAGGCCCACCAAGGCGACGAUCCGUAGCUGGUCUGAGAGGAUGAUCAGCCACACUGGAACUGAGACACGGUCCAGACUCCUACGGGAGGCAGCAGUGGGGAAUCUUGGACAAUGGGCGCAAGCCUGAUCCAGCCAUACCGCGUGGGUGAAGAAGGCCUUCGGGUUGUAAAGCCCUUUUGUUGGGAAAGAAAAGCAGCAGGUUAAUACACCGCUGUUCUGACGGUACCCAAAGAAUAAGCAACGGCUAACUUCGUG